rnacentral:rRNA from 1 species
GGGGGACGGAGAAGGCUAUGUUGGCCGGGCGACGGUUGUCCCGGUUUAAGCGUGUAGGUGUGUGUUCCAGGUAAAUCCGGUUCACUUUAACACUGAGGCGUGAUGACGAGGCACUACGGUGCUGAAGCAACAAAUGCCCUGCUUCCAGGAAAAGCCUCUAAGCAUCAGGUAACAUCAAAUCGUACCCCAAACCGACACAGGUGGUCAGGUAGAGAAUACCAAGGCGCUUGAGAGAACUCGGGUGAAGGAACUAGGCAAAAUGGUGCCGUAACUUCGGGAGAAGGCACGCUGACACGUAGGUGAAGUGAUUUACUCAUGGAGCUGAAGUCAGUCGAAGAUACCAGCUGGCUGCAACUGUUUAUUAAAAACACAGCACUGUGCAAACACGAAAGUGGACGUAUACGGUGUGACGCCUGCCCGGUGCCGGAAGGUUAAUUGAUGGGGUCAGCGCAAGCGAAGCUCCUGAUCGAAGCCCCGGUAAACGGCGGCCGUAACUAUAACGGUCCUAAGGUAGCGAAAUUCCUUGUCGGGUAAGUUCCGACCUGCACGAAUGGCGUAAUGAUGGCCAGGCUGUCUCCACCCGAGACUCAGUGAAAUUGAACUCGCUGUGAAGAUGCAGUGUACCCGCGGCAAGACGGAAAGACCCCGUGAACCUUUACUAUAGCUUGACACUGAACAUUGAGCCUUGAUGUGUAGGAUAGGUGGGAGGCUUUGAAGUGUGGACGCCAGUCUGCAUGGAGCCGACCUUGAAAUACCACCCUUUAAUGUUUGAUGUUCUAACGUGGACCCGUAAUCCGGGUUGCGGACAGUGUCUGGUGGGUAGUUUGACUGGGGCGGUCUCCUCCUAAAGAGUAACGGAGGAGCACGAAGGUUGGCUAAUCCUGGUCGGACAUCAGGAGGUUAGUGCAAUGGCAUAAGCCAGCUUGACUGCGAGCGUGACGGCGCGAGCAGGUGCGAAAGCAGGUCAUAGUGAUCCGGUGGUUCUGAAUGGAAGGGCCAUCGCUCAACGGAUAAAAGGUACUCCGGGGAUAACAGGCUGAUACCGCCCAAGAGUUCAUAUCGACGGCGGUGUUUGGCACCUCGAUGUCGGCUCAUCACAUCCUGGGGCUGAAGUAGGUCCCAAGGGUAUGGCUGUUCGCCAUUUAAAGUGGUACGCGAGCUGGGUUUAGAACGUCGUGAGACAGUUCGGUCCCUAUCUGCCGUGGGCGCUGGAGAACUGAGGGGGCUGCUCCUAGUACGAGAGGACCGGAGUGGACGCAUCACUGGUGUUCGGGUUGUCAUGCCAAUGGCACUGCCCGGUAGCUAAAUGCGGAAGAGAUAAGUGCUGAAAGCAUCUAAGCACGAAACUUGCCCCGAGAUGAGUUCUCCCUGAGACUUAGAGUCUCCUGAAGGAACGUUGAAGACGACGACGUUGAUAGGCCGGGUGUGUAAGCGCAGCGAUGCGUUGAGCUAACCGGUACUAAUGAACCGUGAGGCUUAACCUUACAACGCCGAAG